GGCCCUAGAAAGCUCCGCAAGCA
rnacentral:tRNA from 1 species